CUUUAUUGGAGAGUUUGAUCCUGGCUCAGGAUGAACGCUGGCGGCGUGCCUAAUACAUGCAAGUCGAGCGAACCGAUUAAGAGCUUGCUCUUAAGAAGUUAGCGGCGGACGGGUGAGUAACACGUAGGUAACCUGCCUAUAAGACUGGGAUAACUCCGGGAAACCGGGGCUAAUACCGGAUAACAUUUUGCACCGCAUGGUGC
rnacentral:rRNA from 1 species